GUUUCUGUCUCCAUCUUCACAUCACCUUCUCCUCUUCUCUCUGGUUGGGGAAUCUCCCUCUGACUCCUUCCUGUAAGGGCACUUAGGAUGGCAUAAUCUUCCCAUCUCUAGGUGUUCAAGUCCAUCGCAUCUGCCAAGUUCUUUUUCGCCAUAUAAGGUAACAUUCAUGGGUUCCAAGGAUUAGGAUGGGAUAUGUUUGGGGGAUCAUUAUUCGGCCUACCAUACUCUCCGUCAGAGUUGCCAGGAAAUGGGGGCCACAGUGGAGAGAGGGGAAGGAUAGGCAUCCCAGGCAGGGGAAGGCCCCACUCUGUAGGUCCUGGGUGUCGGGGGUGUUCUCCCAACCCAGCAGGAGCCCAGCUCAAGAUGAAGCCACCUGUCAGGGAAGGGAGUAGCUGGGGGUGCAGUGGUUGUGUCAAGGUCACUGCCCAGCCUCACAGACAUGAUGGGUACCCAAGCACACACAGUGUCACAUGCUCUGAGGCAGAAAGGGAAGCAGGAAGUGACUCCAACCCCCCUCAUGCCUGGCUUGGGCCUCGAUGAGAGCACUCCAGGUCUGAAGAGGACAAAGAGUCAAGUUAACUCCUACAGUGUGCCUAGCAGAGCAGGCACUCUUCAUACUUCAUCUUAGCUAACCCCCACCCCAGCCCCAGAAGGGGGUCAUAUUAGCCCCUCUUCACAUGUAAGGUACCUGCAGCUCAGAGAGGUGAAGCAGUGGGCUCACAGUUACACAGUGCGUCCAUCUUCUGAGUCCUGCAAGUCCUGUCUUGGUGAAGAGCUCCCAUGCGAGUUGGACAGAGCUGGGAUCACAUCCUGGCCCUGCACUUACUGGCCAUGCGACCCUGGACACCGCCUUGCUAUACUGGCUGCGUCUAUCUCGUGGGUUAAUUUUUGUAAGAUAAGCACAGUGCUGAGCACAGCAUUUGGCAUGAAAACACUCAGAUAACUCAUAUUAAUAUCCCCAGCCCUGCCUGCCCAGGUGUGGAGAGCAGG
rnacentral:lncRNA from 1 species